GCAAGUUGUUGUCUUCAUUAUUUUUUUUGCUCAGGCGAUCUUAGUCUCCAUGAGGUUGUUCUCUCUCUCUCUCUCUCUCUCUCUCACGAUCUCUCUGUGUAUCUAUCUCUAGCAGCCGCACAGGGCAUCAUCUCUUCCGUUAUUGCCGUCGGUUACUGUCAUCAAUCUCAAUGACAUUGGGUAUGCCUUCUCUUUUGAUUGAUUUCUUCAUUUGAUUUAUUCAUCUCUCUGUAAUCUCAUUUGAUUUUUUGUGAUUUAUUUUGGGUUUAGGGUUUCUUCUUUGUUCUUUGCGGUUUCGGGUUUCUUUUGGGGUUUUUGUUAUACAUUAGUUUUGAUGUUGUUUUCCCUUGUAACCCAAGUGUUUAUGGCUUGGACCUCACUUAUUGAACUGUGAUAUAGUGAUCUUUUCCGUGGGAGUUGAGAUUUUUAAAAUCCAGAAAGUAUUUUUCUUUGUUUUAGGUAUAUUCCAAUGUAAUUGUUUACUGUGGCUGAGUUGACAAUUAGUUAUAAUGUCACAAACAAGGGUCAAAAAUAUUAUUAUCCAAAUAGAAAUGGUCAAAUUUGUCACUGAAGUUGUAUCAUGCUUGUGAAGUCUUUCAACAACUUGAAACCUUACUGAAAAAUUCAAAGAAUUUGCCUACGACAUUGCUAACUGUUCCCGGUGGUUGUUUUGUUAGUCAGCAUUAUGUUGUUAUAUUGGAUUAUAGCACCCCAAUUGGAGGAACAGAGAUUUACUCAUAGAAGUUGUCUAUUCUACCAUGCGCAUAUAUACAUGUCCUAGAAUGGUAAGUGUGAUUAUGAAACUUCAUAAAUGCCAACUUGGUGGGAGAAACUCGAAGUUUGAUAUUAAUUAUAUGGCCUUAUAGAAGAAGAUAAUAUCAUAAUUCUAGAAUUCAGGUUGCCGACCGCAGAUUCGUCUUCAUAUAAUCUAGUCUUUGUCUGAGUCUUACCAGUAGAUUGUAAACUGAUAAAUUCCCAAGUUUUAAUCACUGUGGCCUGGUCUCAUGCAUAAGAUCAGCAAACUCUUGCAUAGAAUUUCUCUAAAUUCAAACAACCUCUCUUCAGUUUUCAUCCAAAAGAAAUCAGAACAUUGAACAGAAAGAGAUUAGUUCUUGGACUGCUCGGAGAUAUCUAAUAUUUCCAUGUAGAAGUUCCUAGAAUAUUGCAUCAUCAAGUACUGAACUCUUUGGAAAGCUCAGACUGAAUUUACUUCGAUUCCUUGGUAUUCAAAUAUUGCUGUGUGUUAUUAGAUUAGAUUUACACUGUUUCUGUUUUUUUUCAUUUCUUUUUAUAUAUUCACAUGCCAGGAACCAUUCUUCUUGUUUUUAUAGGUUAUGGGUUUACCUUUCUCUGUAGCGUACAAUUUAUAUAUAUUGUAUCUUGUUGUGUUUCUGUUGUUUGCCUUGUAUGAUAAGAUAUGUUAGGAGUUACAUCAUAUGGUUGGGCUAUGCGACAUCGUCAUCGAGGAGUAAUGGAGCAAGUCAGAGAGAGUGAUAACGAGGACCACAUGCAUACACUCAUUGGGGGCAUUCAUCUUCGUCUGACAAUGAAUUUGAUUCUCAAAGCCCACAAACACCCCACCCUAGCACUGUCAGAUUCGGGCCUUCUUCGUCAUUGCCACCUGAAGUUGAGGGAUCAUCCAUGUCCAUUGUUGCCCCUCAAAACUGUUGAAUGAUACAGUCGUUGGGUUCCUCGACAUUACACUAAUAAUCCAAUCUAAGUUUGAGAAGCCAUACGCUAGCUGGAAAAAGAUAGACCUUACUGUGAGAGACUAUGAACUUUGGUCGCCCAUCCACAUAGGCUGAGUUAUUCUUCGCCACACACAAAAGAAAGGAUAAUUUGGGAUUCGUCAAUAAAAGGCUUACUUUUAAACGGAACAACAUGAGGCAUCAUCACAAGUAUUGUUAGGUGGCCCAUUGGAAGGUAGUGACAGUGAGCAUCCCUCGCAGCCAGUUAUUGACGAUAUAUCUUUAUGGUUGAAGGUUGCAGGUGGGAAGAAAAAUGGCUGCGUGUAUGGGAUGGGAUCAAAAGCCCAUGCCAUCCCUGUUGAUUGUUCUUAUUAGGUAUCGUCACCUCCGUCAUUGUCGUUGUUCAUGGACUAGAUUUGACAAACUAUGAGGAAGGUGGUUAGGGAAGCUGUGGAUCCCAUAAACCAAUGCUUGUCGGUUUCGAAAGAUAGAGUCCUAAGCCCUUCUUCGUUGUUGUCACACCAAAAUCAUUCGGAUCAUUAUGAAGACUUGUCAUUGGCAUGUAUAGAUUUUAGGUUGUAGUGCUUUCUAGAUAGAUCUAUUCAUGGACUAUGUUAGU